UACGUAGGGGGCUAGCGUUAUCCGGAAUUACUGGGCGUAAAGGGUGCGUAGGUGGUUUCUUAAGUCAGAGGUGAAAGGCUACGGCUCAACCGUAGUAAGCCUUUGAAACUGGGGAACUUGAGUGCAGGAGAGGAGAGUGGAACUCCUAGUGCAGCGGUGAAAUGCGUAGAUAUUAGGAGGAACACCAGUUGCGAAGGCGGCUCUCUGGACUGUAACUGACACUGAGGCACGAAAGCGUGGGGAGCAAACAGG
rnacentral:rRNA from 1 species